rnacentral:misc_RNA from 1 species
CCGAGUUUACAACUCCCAAACCCCUGUGAACAUACCUAUAUGUUUGCCUCGGCGGAUCAGCCCGCGCCCCCGUAAAACGGGACGGCCCGCCGCAGGAUCCACAAACUCUGUUUUUUAUUGUAACUUCUGAGUAACAAAACAAAUAAAUCAA